rnacentral:lncRNA from 1 species
AUGACAUUUCUAAUCCCAACAUACCAGGACCACCAAUAUUUGAAUAUAAACUUCCAGAAUCCAUCAAGAUGAUCAAGAAAAUCCAAAAUCUUGACAACCCCACAAAGCAAAAUCUUAUGAUUAGCACAAAAUGGAAAAAAAAAAAUCAAAAUCUUGAAAACCCCACAAGGCCAAAUCUUAUGAUAAGCACAAAAUGGUACCAAAACUAGAAGAAAAACUCAAAAUCUUGAAAACCCCACAAGGUAUGAAAAGCACAAAAUGGUACCAAAACCACAAGAAAAAUUCAAAAUCUU